rnacentral:rRNA from 1 species
UACGGGGGGGGCAAGCGUUGUUCGGAAUUACUGGGCGUAAAGGGCUCGUAGGCGGCCAACUAAGUCGGACGUGAAAUCCCUCGGCUUAACCGGGGAACUGCGUCCGAUACUGGAUGGCUUGAGUUUGGGAGAGGGAUGCGGAAUUCCAGGUGUAGCGGUGAAAUGCGUAGAUAUCAUGAGGAAGACCAGUGGCGAAGGCGGGUCUCUGGACAGUUCCUGACACUGAGACACGAAGGCCAGGGGAGCAAACGGG